AAGCAUUAAAUAAAUAAUGACAUCUUUAUCCAACAUCUCACAGUAAUUCCAUGUUACUUUAGAAUUAAUAAAAAUAAUUAUUUAUUCCGAAUUAAUGUUCUUAAAAUUAAAGUCAUAUAGAUCCGUGCCGUAUACUCUUGCGCAAAAUGUUAUACAGAGCGAAUCUAAGAAGUCAUAUUUUAUCAGAUUGUGCUUUUGUUGUGUGUAUUAAUUCUAUAAUCUUUCUUUUCAGAAAAUAUAUAAAAGAAAAAUUCAAAUAAACACAUAACAAUUUUCACACUGACAAUUAACUUUACUUAAGAUCCACUCCCCAAAAACCUUCGAGAUAUCAGAUAAGGAGUGCCUCUCGCUUAGUUGGUCAGUUUCAGUGUCAGGAUAACCUUGUUAUGCAAUUUUCUUGCUGGGCAGAGUAGAGCUGCAGCUUAUCUAGGUCAAAAUUUGAAUUCAACUGAUGGGCAAGAAGUGCGCGCUGUUCAUAUUUAAUGUGUUUUCAAGAUAUAUACAAAAGGAAUAAGGCUGGAAUAUCAACUUCUGCUCAUUCAUCGUAUGGUUCAAUCAACCAGUGGUGAGGGAAGUGAUUGUAUAUAGUCAGCCUUGAUUGCAUCAGAUUCUUCGCCCGUGAAAAUUAUACAAAGGAAUGCAAUAUUUUGCUGUUGCUCUAGAGGGUGGAUUCUCCUGUUCAUUUCUUUCAUUCGUGGGACUUAACUACAGAUGUAUAUGCGUGAUUAAAAUCAAUGGAUCCGCCACUUUGUGAAACUUAGUAGUGUAAGACAGACGCGUACUUUGAAGAACCUUGAUGUGAUAACUGUGACCCCCUUUUCACUAGGAAUAUAAAUUUGUCAAGCAGUGAUUUUUGAGAUUCAUUGAUUGAAU